GGAACAACCCAGCUUUCACCUUCCACUGCUUGCCAUCCCAAAGGUUGUAAAAUUAAAGCACUGAGAGCCAAGACAAACACGUAUAUCAAGACUCCUGUUCGUGGUGAAGAGCCCAUUUUUGUUGUCACUGGAAGGAAAGAAGAUGUUGCCAUGGCCAAAAGAGAGAUCCUCUCAGCUGCAGAGCACUUCUCCAUGAUUCGUGCAUCUCGAAACAAAAAUGGGCCUGCCCUGGGAGGAUUAUCAUGUAGUCCUAAUCUGCCCGGUCAAACCACCGUCCAAGUCAGGGUCCCUUAUCGUGUGGUAGGAUUAGUGGUUGGACCCAAAGGAGCAACUAUUAAAAGAAUUCAGCAGCAGACCCACACCUACAUAGUAACUCCGAGCAGAGAUAAGGAACCUGUCUUUGAAGUGACAGGGAUGCCUGAAAAUGUUGACCGAGCACGGGAAGAAAUAGAAAUGCAUAUUGCCAUGCGUACAGGAAACUAUAUAGAGCUCAAUGAAGAGAAUGAUUUCCAUUACAAUGGUACCGAUGUAAGCUUUGAAGGUGGCACUCUUGGCUCUGCGUGGCUCUCCUCCAAUCCUGUUCCUCCUAGCCGCGCAAGAAUGAUAUCCAAUUAUCGAAAUGAUAGUUCCAGUUCUCUAGGAAGUGGCUCCACAGAUUCCUACUUUGGAAGCAAUAGGCUGGCUGACUUUAGUCCAACAAGCCCAUUUAGCACAGGAAACUUCUGGUUUGGAGAUACACUACCAUCUGUAGGCUCAGAAGACCUAGCAGUUGACUCUCCUGCCUUUGACUCUUUACCAA
rnacentral:sRNA from 1 species